AUUGAACGCUGGCGGCAGGCCUAACACAUGCAAGUCGAACGAGUGGCGGACGGGUGAGUAAUGUCUGGGAAACUGCCCGAUGGAGGGGGAUAACUACUGGAAACGGUAGCUAAUACCGCAUACCAUCGGAUGUGCCCAGAUGGGAUUAGCUAGUAGGGGGGGUAAGGGCUCACCACGGCGACGAGCCCUAGCGGGUCUGAGAGGAUGACAAGCACCAUUGGAACUGAGCCAGGGUCCAGACUCAUACGGGAGGCAGCGGGGGGGAAUAUUGCACAAUGGGCGCAAGCCUGAUGCAGCCAUGCGGCGUGGAUGAAGAAGGCCUUCGGGUUGUAAAGUACUUUCAGCGAGGAGGCGUUACUCGCAGAAGAAGCACCGGCUAACUCCGUGCCAGCCACCGCGGUAAUA
rnacentral:rRNA from 1 species